AGAGUUUGAUUAUGGCUCAGGAUGAACGCUGGCGGCGUGCCUAACACAUGCAAGUCGAGCGGAGAUAAGUUGAAGCCUAGCGAUUCUUAUCUUAGCGGCGGAUGGGUGAGUAACACGUGGGUAACCUGCCCUGUACUGGGGGAUAACAGCUGGAAACGGCUGUUAAUACCGCAUAUGCGCACGGAGCCGCAUGGCCCUGGGCGGAAAGAUUCAUCGGUACAGGAUGGGCCCGCGCCGGAUUAACUUGUUGGCGGGGUAACGGCCCACCAAGGUGAUGAUCCGUAGCCGACCUGAGAGGGUGACCGGCCACAUUGGGACUGAGACACGGCCCAAACUCCUACGGGAGGCAGCAGUGGGGGAUAUUGCACAAUGGGGGAAACCCUGAAUGCAGCGACGCCGCGUGAAGGAAGAAGUAUUUCGGUAUGUAAACUUCUAUCAGCGGGGAAGAAGAUGACGGUACCCGCACAAGAAGCCCCGGCUAACUACGUGCCAGCCGCAGC
rnacentral:rRNA from 1 species